AUACUAUCUACUAUGUAAUUUUAUGAUAUACAUUUUACUCAUAAUGUGUUUGUUGGGAAUUAUUCGAUAUCAACAACACACUAUUUUUCUAUUAACUGCAAGGGAAUCGUUUCUAACUAUUCCAUCCAAAGGAAAGAGUAAUAUCGUCGUUCAAUUUAAAAGAGAUUUCAACGCCACGUUUAGGUUAUCUAUUAAACAGGAAUACAAGAAGCAAAAGAUUCUAUCAAAUAUUUACAAAGUUGAUUGAAGGAUAUUAUGAAUAGGUCCAGUUAAUAUAUUGAAGAGUACUCUGAUUAUAGCAAUGUUAAAUAUUUGGAUCCCAAAAAGGCACGAUAAUACAUAAAUGUAUUGACAAAAAUAGUAUAAAGUAAAGGAAAUGUUUCUACAAGGAAUAUUUUGGGAAUGCUUCUGUGACCAUCAUUUGUGUUGGAACUCAUAUAUAUUGCACAAUACUUAAAUAUGCUACCAUUGCCAAUGAUGGGAGGAGGAAAGACAAUAAUACAUUAGGAAGACUCUUGAAAGAACUGAAGAAAGUAUUAUCCACAGUCAAGGACGUGAAUUAUAUAGAAAACGAAUUAAAAGAGAAAAUCCAAAACGAUAAAGGAUCGGUAAUUGUAUAAACUCGUAACAAAGGAAUAAUCUUAACAGCAAAAUCAUGGAGAAAGAACAAUGAGUUAAAGGAUCAUUCACAAGAGAUUUUUCAUCAGAGGUAGCUCCUCAUUUUGUGUUGCUAAAAAAAUAGAAAAUUUUCAAUAUUUAGAAGAUCAUAUUAUCGAACAUGAAUUGCACAAGUAAAAAUUAAUGCGCAAAAAUUACAUGAGCAUAAUGUAAUCAUCUGAUGCAUAAUACUUUGAAAAUGAGGUAGAAGAAUACUGUGAAUUUCACAGUCAUUUUGACAAGACGUUGAAAAGGAACCACCUGAGGAAAACAAAAUAUGGAAAUGGAAUAAAGGAUUCAGAUCCAGAAUAAUCUGGAUUUAGACCAUCGAAGAAAAGAGCCUUCAACAAUACGGAAUAAGCAACAAGGAUGUUACACAAACGCGAGCCUCUUGUGAAAGUCAAAUUUAGCAGCAACAAAUGAUACGUCAGUUUACAGACUGCAACAGAGUAUUCUAAGAUAUACACAUCAAUGAAGAAGUAGGAAGUAACGUUUUAUAUCAAAAGUCGAGCUCGGAAUUGCGACAAAUAGAAACGAUCGACUAAUAAAUAAAAAAAUCUUCAAAAUGCAAUAAAACAUGUACACAGAUAAAUGAUACAGAGAUGAAAAAAAACGUGAGCAUUUGUAUUCACCAAUUGUACUAACAAAACCAACGUACAUGCCAUAGUAAAAUUUGGAUUCUCUCUUUGCACGAAGACGAGAUAGAGAAAAUUCAUUGAACACGAGAUUAAUAUAGAAAAUGAUAGAAAAACGUCGAAAGGAAAUUAUUACUUUUCUCACGGGAGAGAAGGCGUCCUCUACGCAACCAUACUGUUUGAUGUCUGGCACCCAACUGCACUCCGUUCAUUAACGAGUGGUCAAUCGGAUUGGAAACUGCACGGCGCGAUGCGCCGAUGCCACCAAUAUUUUAUCUCUAUGUUUCUUCCCCCAUAGCGGAGGCAAUAGUGUUAUACUUUGUAUGCACCGUACUUUAGCUUCAACUACGGGAUGCAGGAAAAACGGAUAGAAGGCCAGAUAUAAAAACUUUACACACCCGUAUAAAAAUCUAAAUCCCUCGAUGAUGAGAUCCUCUUUCGGUAAUAGAACGGUCCCACGAUGCAGUGAUGACAAAAAGAAGAGUAAAACUAUUACUAUAAAGUAUACGAUAAUUAUCGAAUUAAAGAACUAAAACUGUUUAACUUACUUUAAAACGUGAAAGAAAAGUGAUAAAUCUAAUGCAACUCAGACUUAACCCUGACAAAAAAUCGAGAUUGUAUAGGGACAACAAGAACGAGUAUCAAUUUAUAAUACUAAUUGCUGAAAAUCAAUCAUUAAGUACUAAAAAUUGAUUAAUUUAUUUCAAGGCCUACGAUUUUGUGAUUUUACAAAUCUCUUCAUCUUUUAUCAAUGACUCUAUUUGACUUUUUUCUUCCGAAAGUAUCAACUUUUCUAGACUUUUUUCAUUCAAAAUCAAUGACUUCAUCAAGACUUUUCUUUUACCAACAAAAUUGAUUAAAUAUCUGAUUAAUUUUUAUUUAAUAAUAUAAUAAAAAAGAGACUUUCGAUGCUUAAUUGUCGAAAUUCCAAAAGAAGCUGACCCGGCAAGCGUUUAAGGCAAUCAAGAGUCCGUUUUCGUUAACAUAACAAGUAGCCAACGAUCGCGAGUUUCAAAUUUUGAAAUAUUAGAAGUUUAAAUAGAUUUUAUUUUAUGUUUAUCGCCUGUUACAAACUUUGUAAUGUUUAAUCGAUGUAUAUUAUUGUUUAUGCUGAAUUCGAUCAUGCUAGUCUUCUUUUGUUUUACCAAACAAUUUAAUUAUUUGCCAUAUUCAAAAAAGAAAAAAGUAAUUUGUAAGUCAGUAAAAUGGAUCGGUUUUUCACAAUCUAUAUAUGAAAAUAUAUCUCUGGCCAGAUUACAAAUAAAUUAUAGGAUUAUUCAUACCUGUGGAACGAACAUAUUAUAUACAUUGUAAUGUGAAAGAAAUAUCAAUGCUUUUCAAUAGAAAUAUUUACACAAACGUAUUCAACUGAUAAAUCAAAGGUAGAUAUAUACAUGGAUACGUGUGAGAUAGAAGGUUCUAACUACUUAGUCGUAUGUAUGUGUUUGUAUGAAAUAAUCCGAUCGACAGUUAGACAAGGGAUGGAAAGUUGUAAAAUUAAUUAGUUGUGUACAUAAAAUCAGUUCAUUAAUAGUUGAGCAAAAAGAAGGAAAGCUUAGCGUUAGUCAGCUGUGUAUGUGUGCGCGUGUGUAUGUGUUGUGAGACAAAAUAGUCGACAGUCGAAUACAACAUGAUCUGAAUAUAGCAUCGUUAACUUUCAUAAUUCAAAGUGUGCUUUUCAUUAUACGAUCCAAUCAACGAGAUUAUUGAAAAUAUGAAUAAUUUAAUCAUUGACGUAACCCAGGUGUAAUGUUACAUUCGUAAACGUUUCUUUUAUAUGCUACUCGAUAUAUGUAUAUAUAUAUAUAUAUAAAAUAACAUUAAUAUUUAA